rnacentral:rRNA from 1 species
GACGAACGCUGGCGGCGUGCUUAACACAUGCAAGUCGAACGGAAAGGCCCUGCUUUUGUGGGGUGCUCGAGUGGCGAACGGGUGAGUAACACGUGAGUAACCUGCCCUUGACUUUGGGAUAACUUCAGGAAACUGGGGCUAAUACCGGAUAGGAGCUCCUGCUGCAUGGUGGGGGUUGGAAAGUUUCGGCGGUUGGGGAUGGACGCGCGGCUUAUCAGCUUGUUGGUGGGGUAGUGGCUUACCAAGGCUUUGACGGGUAGCCGGCCUGAGAGGGUGACCGGCCACAUUGGGACUGAGAGAGGGACCAGACUCGUACGGGAGGCAGCAGUGGGAAAUAUUGCACAAUGGGCGGAAGCCUGAUGCAGCAACGCCGCGUGCGGGAUGACGGCCUUCGGGUUGUGAACCGCUUUCGCCUGUGACGAAGCGUGAGUGACGGUAAUGAGUAAAGAAGCACCGGCUAACUACGUG